AAAUAGAAAACAUCUUUCUUCUUAUGUUCUUCAGUUCUUCCCCGAGCAGCAAAACCUUCGGUCUCCUUCUUCUUUAAUUCCUCCUCGAGAAGCAACACGCAAACACCUGCAAUCGUUGUUACAAAUACAACAGCUACCAGCACGGCAACACCGUAUUUCUCUUUUUCCUUUUCACCUCAAUCCCAAGCACUCAUUGCGGAGUGGCUUCACACGGACUCAAGAAGAACAACUGUAGGAGUGGAUAUAGACCUUGAGAAAGUUGAAUGGAGCUCAAGGAAUAAUGUUGAUGAAAAUGGGGUUGAUGGUACUAUUUAAUAGGGAUGUACUGAAACUUAAGGAUGCUAGGCUCCAUAUGCUCCACAGUAGAACAAGGGAUAAGCCUCCACUAUAAUAUCUGGAAGCAGCAACUCAAGAUUCUUCGGGGGCUUGAGGAAUCUACUAUAUGUUAACUGGAGCGGGAAUUGUUUAUGUUUAGACUCAGUUUACUUCAUGGGUGUGGUUUGGGAAUGUUUUGCUUACUCUUUGCCAUGACUAACCAUGACUCUCAUGGUUGUUUGUGGAUAUUCAGUGAAUGGUUUUACAAGCCAGUAAGGAGAGGAAACAAUGGUUGCAGUUGUGAUAGUUGCACAAUGAGUGUUCACGUCGAGAAAAGUUAGGGAAGAACCCAUUAAGCAAAGGAAUAGUAAUGAUGAUGCUUCUCUGGAUUACUUGUAGGAGUUUUGUUAUAUUUUUUUCAUCUCUAAAGCUAUUAGUGAUUCAGCAGUGCUUCUUCUAUUUGUGGCAGAUAUUUUGGUGCUGCGGGCUGUGAGUUGGUCCCUUAUGAGCUCGGAUGUGUCAUGUGAAUGUGUUGUUGUAGUUUAUAUCAAUAUGAGCUGAUAUUUGUUUGAAGAUGAAAAGGAGAAAGCUGGACGUUCAAGGAGAAGUUUGAGUUUCUUUGCAAGGUGUUUAAGGAAGCAUUCAGAGUUGAGAGAGUUGUUUUGUAUUGGUUACUAGAGAGUUGGCUAGAUUGCUAACAUGGAGAGCAUCAUGAAGGAACAAGCUUUGAGAGAUGGAGAUCAACUCUGAAAUCAUUAUGCAGGCAAUGAGAAAAAUAUUAUAAGUUGCAUUGUACUAAUUUUUCAGUCUAUGUAAUUUUUAGGAUCGCAAAUACAUUCUUAUUACGCGUUCCAUGCU